rnacentral:rRNA from 1 species
GUAACGGGGAAUUAGGGUUCGAUUCCGGAGAGGGAGCCUGAGAAACGGCUACCACAUCCAAGGAAGGCAGCAGGCGCGCAAAUUACCCAAUCCCGACACGGGGAGGUAGUGACAAUAAAUAACAAUACGGGGCUCUUUCGGGUCUCGUAAUUGGAAUGAGUACAAUUUAAAUCCCUUAACGAGGAACAAUUGGAGGGCAAGUCUGGUGCCAGCAGCCGCGGUAAUUCCAGCUCCAAUAGCGUAUAUUAAAGUUGUUGCAGUUAAAAAGCUCGUAGUUGAAUUUCGGGAUUGGCGCAUCGGUCGUGCCUUACGGGGUAUGAACUGGUGCAGUCAAUUUCUCACCUUCUGGAGAACCGCGAUGUCCUUAAUUGGGUGCCGCGGGGAACCAGGACCUUUACUUUGAAAAAAUUAGAGUGUUUAAAGCAGGCAUUUUUGCUUGAAUACAUUAGCAUGGAAUAAUAAAAUAGGACGGCAUGGUUCUAUUUUGUUGGUUUCUAGGACCACCGUAAUGAUUAAUAGGGAUAGUUGGGGGCAUUAGUAUUCAAUUGUCAGAGGUGAAAUUCUUGGAUUUAUUGAAGACUAACUACUGCGAAAGCAUUUGCCAAGGAUGUUUUCAUUAAUCAAGAACGAAAGUUAGGGGAUCGAAGACGAUCAGAUACC